GACGAACGCUGGCGGCGUGCUUAACACAUGCAAGUCGAACGGUGAAGCCGGAGCUUGCUCUGGUGAAUUAGUGGCGAACGGGUGAGUAACACGUGAGUAACCUGCCCUUGACUCUGGGAUAACUGCGGGAAACUGUAGCUAAUACCGGAUACGACCCUCGGAGGCAUCUCCUGGGGGUGGAAAGAAUUUCGGUCGAGGAUGGACUCGCGGCCUAUCAGCUAGUUGGUGAGGUAAAGGCUCACCAAGGCGACGACGGGUAGCCGGCCUGAGAGGGUGACCGGCCACACUGGGACUGAGAAACGGCCCAGACUCCUACGGGAGGCAGCAGUGGGGAAUAUUGCACAAUGGGCGCAAGCCUGAUGCAGCAACGCCGCGUGAGGGAUGACGGCCUUCGGGUUGUAAACCUCUUUUAGCAGGGAAGAAGCGAAAGUGACGGUACCUGCAGAAAAAGCACCGGCUAACUACGUGCCAGCAGCCGCCGUAA
rnacentral:rRNA from 1 species